AUACGUUCGUCAGUAGUUGAAAAGUCAAAGAUGGAAUUUUGAAUAAGUCAAUCACAGCGUGUUAUCAUCAUCUUCCCUUAAAUUUCAGCUGGUGGAGAUGAAAACCUGCUCAAACAACUCAACAAAUUGAUAUUUCAUUGAAUCCUUGUGGUUCCUAUGGAUCUGUACAUCUUUUCGUCCACAUUUGCUCUACUAAGUCCCUCUCUCUUACUCACCGGUCACAUCCACUGUCUCCGCACCACUAACACCGUCGUUCCACUUCUCCAACCUCACUUCUCUAACACGAACCUGCUCCUGCAUUCUCCGCCUCUUUCAUUUGUCCUUUCUCUUUCAGGAUGAAUUGGGUUGCUAAACUGUACUCUUUAAUGAACGACCACCAAAUACAGAUUCACCAAGGAUAAAAUCAGGAAGACCAAUAAGAAAUAAAAAUAUCUAUGUGUGUGUAACGAUAUCAUGCUCCAAACCUCAUUCUCAAUCUCGAUUUCAAUCCUUGAAACUUACUCUCGAUCUUGAUAUUCUACAGAUAAGAGACAACUACAAUUUCAAGCCCUAAAUUUCAAAGAUAGGAGAUAAGAUAUGAUUCCAUGACCUAAGCAUCUCUCUCUCUCUCUCUCUCUCUCUCUCUCUCUCUCUCUCUCUCUGGUUUACCAUCAAGGACACAAAACGUUACGAUUUCGUGUUUUUUCUUUUCUUCUUUUGAUUUGUUGCAUAAACAUCAAUUUUUGCUACAUAAAUUUAAAACUUAAAGGUAUUUUGAGGAAUUUAAGGGUUGGAUUUCGUAUAUGUGUGUAUGUUUAACAGGUGAACCUAAAAAGUAGAAGGUUUGAAAAUGGUUAAAGGCAAUUAACAGGUGGUUUUAUUUGUUUUUGUGUGUUUUUAUGUAGGUGUGUGUAUCUGUGUUGGUGUAUAUAUAAGGUAAUAGCCUAUGAUUUUUGUUCUUCUCGUUGGAAGGGUAUUUUCUGUGGAUGAAUCUGAUUAUAAAUUUACUUUAAAGCUGAACAUCUAUCUGUAGAUGAGUGGCUAUAGGUUUGUGGUUUUCAUGCUAUAUCUCCUUAAAUGCCAAAGCUUGCUUAUAUUGUAUUCUCUUUUCUAUGAAAAUUCUGUAAUUAAACUUCUGAACAUAUAUUUCUGAAUGAAGGAUAAAAUAGGAGUAAAGGAAUAUGGAAAUGGAAUGGGAAUCAGUAGAUGCCAAUCAUAUUCUAUGGAGAGAUUAAACCGCAUGGAGUUGUUUCUAACUUACACCGUAUAGUUGAAAGUAUUUAAUUUUCCCUUCUAGGUUAAAUGUUAUAAAACACUUCAAAUGGUCAAAAAGUAUGUGUUUGUAAUGUGUGUGUCUGUAAUGUGUUUAUGUGUGUGCGUUCUACGUUAGUGUCUCCAAUUUAUAUUAAAUGAAGUAAUUUCGUUUAAAAUUGAGUAAUCCAUAAGAAAAUUAUUCUA